UUCUCGCGCGCGAGCCACGCGGGGGACAAGUCGCGGCCACCUGCUCCGAAGCUGGGGAGCCCGGGCGCCGUCCGCCCGCGCGUCGGUUGGUGUGCCCAGGGCCCCAUGGAGCUGCGGGUCAGCAACACCAGCUGCGAGAACGGUUCCCUGCUCCACCUCUACUGCUCCUCCCAAGAAGUCCUGUGCCAGAUUGUCAAUGACCUCAGCCCUGAGGUGCCCAGCAAUGCCACCUUUCAUAGCUGGCAGGAAAGAAUCAGGCAGAACUAUGGCUUCUACAUCGGCCUGGGCCUGGCCUUCCUGUCUAGCUUCCUCAUCGGCAGCAGCGUCAUACUCAAGAAGAAAGGCCUCCUGCGACUCGUGGCCACGGGAGCCACUCGAGCUGUGGACGGAGGCUUCGGCUACCUGAAAGAUGCAAUGUGGUGGGCUGGAUUUCUCACCAGGAGAACAUCUUACCAUCAAAGCCAGUCUUCAUCCAUGAAGCGUCUACUCCCAGAGAGGUUUGCACAGAGCUGGCAAUGAUGAAGGUGUAUUUUCGCAACUUCCCUUUAAACAUAGCUCGAUAAUAUCACUGCCUGUUGGUAGUGGACUCUUGACUUCUACAUGGUAGAAGCUGGAACUCCUAGGCCAAAUUCCCCCAGUCCACAGGCAGUUAAUGUGUUGGCCCACUUAGAACAUAGCUGGUCCGUUACUUAAAGUUUGCCCAAAUUUGCAUACUCACACAUUUCCCCCAAUUCCACCCACCCUCUCCUGCUAUCAAACCCUGACUCUUUUAGGUGGAAAAUUAACCAGGUUUCUAUUCAUAAUCCCCCUAUGUCAAGUUUUGAUCCUCAUCUCAGCCAGAGCUAUCCCAGUGACCACCUAUUUUUAAAGGGGAGACCCAGGUGGUUCUCUAUCAGCAGAGAGAUGGAAAAAGACACUUUUCUGAUAACCACACACAGCUAUCACAUAUUGAGGGUUUACUGUCUGCUAAACUUUCUAAGUGUUAUCCUGUGUAUUAACUCAGGAGUUUACAAACUGGAAACUCGGAUAGGGAGAAAGAACUUAGACCCCUUGGGAAUGUCAGGUUUUUCUUUUCCUGUUAAUUAAUUAAUUUAUUUAUUUAUUGAGACGGAGUUUCGCUCUUGUUGCCCAGGCUGGAGUGCAAUGGUGCG
rnacentral:sRNA from 1 species